rnacentral:sRNA from 1 species
GGUUAGUCCACGUGUAGUGUUUGUGACUAAUUGGACACUGCCAGUUGCAGCUUUCUUUGUGCCUUUUCCAAUCCUGUUGCUCCACUUGGACUUGCCUUAA